GACGGGGGAUGCAAGCGUUAUCCGGAAUCACUGGGCGUAAAGCGUCUGUAGGUGGUGAUGCAAGUCACUGGUGCAAAACUCUGGCUCAACCGGAGGAAAGCCAGUGAAACUGCAUGACUAGAGUGUGGGAGAGGUAGAAGGAAUUCCAUGAGUAGCGGUGAAAUGCGUAGAUACAGGGAAGAACACCGGAGGCGAAAGCGUUCUACUGGAAUACAACUGACACUGAGGGACGAAAGCUAGGGGAGCGAAUGGG
rnacentral:rRNA from 1 species